rfam:Triticum aestivum genome assembly, contig: Triticum_aestivum_CS42_TGACv1_scaffold_271617_3DS
AAAGUACUCCCUCCGUCCCAAAAUUCUUGUCUUAGAUUUGUCUAGAUACGGAUGUAUCAAGUCACAUUUUAGUAUUAGAUACAUUCGUAUCUAGACAAAUCUAAGACAAGAAAUUUGGGACAGAGGGAGUAGUUG